UACGGAGGAUGCGAGCGUUAUCCGGAUUUAUUGGGUUUAAAGGGUGCGUAGGCGGGAUGCCAAGUCAGCGGUAAAAAUGCGGUGCUCAACGCCGUCGAGCCGUUGAAACUGGCGAUCUUGAGUGGAAGAGAAGUAUGCGGAAUGCGUGGUGUAGCGGUGAAAUGCAUAGAUAUCACGCAGAACCCCGAUUGCGAAGGCAGCAUGCCGGCUUCCUACUGACGCUGAAGCACGAAAGCGUGGGGAUCGAACAGG
rnacentral:rRNA from 1 species